rnacentral:rRNA from 1 species
CCAACCCCUAUCAUUAGUUGCCAUCAGGUCAAGCUGGGGACUCUAAUGAAACUGCCUACGCAAGUAGUGAGGAAGGUGGGGAUGACGUCAAAUCAGCACGGCCCUUACGUCCAGGGCUACACACGUGCUACAAUGGCCGAUACAGAGGGCAGCUACCUGGUGACAGGAUGCAAAUCUCCAAAGUCGGUCUCAGUUCGGAUCGGAGUCUGCAACCCGACUCCGUGAAGUUGGAUUCGCUAGUAAUCGCGCAUCAGCCAUGGCGCGGUGAAUACGUUCCCGGGCCUU